GACGAACGCUGGCGGCGUGCCUAAUACAUGCAAGUCGAGCGAAGUUUUUCUGGUGCUUGCACUAGAAAAACUUAGCGGCGAACGGGUGAGUAACACGUAAAGAACCUGCCUCAUAGACUGGGACAACUAUUGGAAACGAUAGCUAAUACCGGAUAACAGUAUUUCUCGCAUGAGAGAUAUUUAAAAGUUGGUUAUGCUAACACUAUGAGAUGGUUUUGCGGUGCAUUAGCUAGUUGGUGGGGUAAAGGCCUACCAAGGCGACGAUGCAUAGCCGACCUGAGAGGGUGAUCGGCCACACUGGGACUGAGACACGGCCCAGACUCCUACGGGAGGCAGCAGUAGGGAAUCUUCCGCAAUGGGCGAAAGCCUGACGGAGCAACGCCGCGUGAGUGAAGAAGGAUUUCGGUUCGUAAAGCUCUGUUGUUAGGGAAGAAUGGAUAUGUAGUAACUAUACAUGUAAGAGACGGUACCUAACCAGAAAGC
rnacentral:rRNA from 1 species